rnacentral:lncRNA from 1 species
UGAGAUGUUCAGAAUGGACUUGAAAACAAGAAAAGUUUAAAUUACAAUGAAAAGUUGGCACUGCAAUACUUAUGAAUUAUUCACUAAUUGAUUGCAUUCAUAUUUGUCUUCUAUUUAAUCUUUGUGAAUGACGAACCUUCCAUUAUUGUUUUUCAAUGUACAUUAUUUACGACAAGUAUGUAAAAUUCAUUGAAAUGGCAC